AUUGAACGCUGGCGGCAGGCCUAACACAUGCAAGUCGAACGAGUAGCGGACGGGGGAGUAAUGUAUGGAAACCUGCCUGCUGGAGCGGGAUAACUACUGUACGAGGUAGCUAAUACCGCCUACCAUCAGAUGUGCCCGGAUGGGUUUCGCUUGUUGGUGGGGUAACGGCUCACCAAGGCGACGAUCCCUAGCUGGUCUGAGAGGAGGACCAGGAACACUGGAACUGAGAUACGGUCCAGACUCCUACGGGAGGCAGCAGUGGGGAAUAUUGCACAAUGGGCGCAAGGCUGAUGCAGCCAUGCCGCGUAGAUGAAGAAGGCCUGCGGCUUGGAAAGUACUUUCAGCGGUGAGGCGGUAUCAGAAGAAGAAGCACCGGCUAACUCCGUGCCAGCAGCCGCGGUAAUUC
rnacentral:rRNA from 1 species